GACGAACGCUGGCGGCGUGCCUAAUACAUGCAAGUCGAACGCAAAACUUUCACCGAAUGCUUGCAUUCACGAAAGUUUUGAGUGGCGAACGGGUGAGUAACACGUGGGUAACCUGCCCAGAAGAGGGGGAUAACACUUGGAAACAGGUGCUAAUACCGCAUAAUAACAAAAACCGCAUGGUUUUUGUUUGAAAGAUGGUUUUGCUAUCACUUCUGGAUGGACCCGCGGCGUAUUAGCUAGUUGGUAAGGUAAAGGCUUACCAAGGCAAUGAUACGUAGCCGAACUGUGAGGUUGAUCGGCCACAUUGGGACUGAAACACGGCCCAAACUACUAAGGGAGGCAGCAGUAGGGAAUCUUCCACAAUGGACGAAAGUCUGAUGGAGCAACGCCGCGUGAGUGAAGAAGGUUUUCGGAUCGUAAAACUCUGUUGUUAGAGAAGAACGUGUGUGAGAGUAACUGCUCAUGCAGUGACGGUAUCUAACCAGAAAGCCACGGCUAACUACGUGCCAGCAGCCGCCGUAAUAC
rnacentral:rRNA from 1 species